rnacentral:rRNA from 1 species
UCCUACGGGAGGCAGCAGUAGGGAAUCUUCCGCAAUGGACGAAAGUCUGACGGAGCAACGCCGCGUGAGUGAUGAAGGCUUUCGGGUCGUAAAACUCUGUUGUUAGGGAAGAACAAGUGCUAGUUGAAUAAGCUGGCACCUUGACGGUACCUAACCAGAAAGCCACGGCUAACUACGUGCCAGCAGCCGCGGUAAUACGUAGGUGGCAAGCGUUGUCCGGAAUUAUUGGGCGUAAAGCGCGCGCAGGUGGUUUCUUAAGUCUGAUGUGAAAGCCCACGGCUCAACCGUGGAGGGUCAUUGGAAACUGGGAGACUUGAGUGCAGAAGAGGAAAGUGGAAUUCCAUGUGUAGCGGUGAAAUGCGUAGAGAUAUGGAGGAACACCAGUGGCGAAGGCGACUUUCUGGUCUGUAACUGACACUGAGGCGUGAAAGCGUGGGGAGCAAACAGGAUUAGAUACCCUGGUAGUCCACGCCGUAAACGAUGAGUGCUAAGUGUUAGAGGGUUUCCGCCCUUUAGUGCUGAAGUUAACGCAUUAAGCACUCCGCCUGGGGAGUACGGCCGCAAGGCUGAAACUCAAAUGAAUUGACGGA